rnacentral:rRNA from 1 species
UACAGAGGGUGCGAGCGUUAAUCGGAAUUACUGGGCGUAAAGCGUGCGCAGGCGGUUUUGUAAGCCAGAUGUGAAAUCCCCGGGCUCAACCUGGGAAUGGCAUUUGGGACUGCAAGGCUGGAGUGCGGCAGAGGAGACUGGAAUUCCUGGUGUAGCAGUGAAAUGCGUAGAUAUCAGGAGGAAUACCGAUGGCGAAGGCAGGUCUCUGGGCUGACACUGACGCUCAUGCACGAAAGCGUGGGGAGCAAACAGG